GCUUAACUUAAGUACCCGCUGAAACUUAACUACCCUAAUUUGAAAUCUAUUCGCCCAGCGGGGUCCGAAUUGUAAUUUGCAAAGGAUGCUUGGGCGACCUUCCGAGUCCCUGGAACGGGACGCCACAGAGGGUGAGAGCCCCGUCUGGUCGGUCUCCGAGCCCGUGUACAGCUCCCUCGAAGAGUCGAGUAGUUUGGGAAUGCUGCUCUAAGCGGGAGGUAAACCCCUUCUAAAGCUAAAUAUCUGCCAGAGACCGAUAGCGCACAAGUANAGUGAUCGAAAGAUGAAAAUCACUUUGAAAAGAGAGUCAGACAGCACGUGAAAUUGUUGAAAGGGAAGCGCUUGCGGGCAGACCUGUGCCCGACGGCUCANCCGUCCCUCCCGGGCGGUGCACUCCGGGGUGGAGGCCAGCAUCGGCUUGCGGGGGGGAGAAAGGCGGCGGGAACGUGGCUCCUAUGAGUGUUAUAGCCCACCGUCACGCCCGCCUGCAGUCAGGAACGCGUCAAGGAUGCUGGCGUAAUGGGCGUCANCGACCCGUCUUGAAACACGGNCCAAGGAGUCGUCCUAAUAUGCGAGUGUUCGGGUCGAAAACCCUACGCUAAAUGAAAGUGAAAGGAGGUGAA
rnacentral:rRNA from 1 species